rnacentral:rRNA from 1 species
UACAGAGGGUGCAAGCGUUAAUCGGAAUUACUGGGCGUAAAGCGUGCGUAGACGGUUAUUUAAGUCGGGUGUGAAAGCCCCGGGCUCAACCUGGGAAUUGCAUUCGAGACUGAAUAGCUAGGGUGCAGAAGAGGGAAGCGGAAUUUCCGGUGUAGCGGUGAAAUGCGUAGAUAUCGGGAGGAACACCAGUGGCGAAGGCGACUUCCUGGCCUGUUCUUGACGCUGAGGCGCGAAAGCUAGGGGAGCAAACGGG